rnacentral:ncRNA from 1 species
CGUCUCCUCCAACCCCUAUGGUUUGGAUUCAGCCCGCGCCGCAAGGCCAGCGGGCUUUUUUUU